UACUGCUACUAGAUCUGCGUGGCCUUCCACUCCUCCCUUGUGAAUAAUUAGGCAAAUUUGAUUCUACAACUAAGCUACGUGUUCAUUGGGGGAGGGAAAACAUUGUCAUCACCCAAUAGCUGUUUGAUGAAAUGCCUCCUAGGCAAGCCGCUCACCAAACCAGCAUAGGCACAGUCGUCCUCGACCUGAGGCCUAGAACAAGAAAAAACUCUCAAAUAGCCAAGUAAUCAAGCAUAUCCUUAAUCAAGCAAAAAGAUCCCAAAUAGCCAAGGAAGGAGCGCCUGGCGGUGUUCGUCUGAAGAAGGAGGCGAUGCGCUGUGGGGACUGGGUACUGCGUCUGGCGGUGUGGCGGGCUGGAGGCACUGGCCGUACUGGCACUGCCGCGGCCUGCAACGCCUCGCUGGCGUCAGCGCUGGUGACCGUGUGCCUGGGUAAACAAACAGGAAGGUCAAAGCACACAGCAUUGGCAUGCAGAUUCGAUCCAAGGCCCAUGGGAUCGAUGAUUUGGAGUUGGAAGAUGGGAAUCUCGAUCGCCGGAGUCGGAGAAGACGAUCAGGAGAGGAGACAGUAGGGAGGGUGAUGACGCACCUGAGACCUGACGUUUACAACUCGCCGCGGCAGAUUCCUUCGUCGGUGGCCGUCGGUGGCCGUCUCCUUCCUGGCACUCGACGCGACAGUCUCCUUCCUCGGCGGCUUCCUCCAGCCUCCAGCCGCGAAGUCGCGACUUGCGAGUCGCACUGUCGCAGCGCGCAGGCGCGGAAGCGGAACCGUGGUCCACGAAAGGGAUAGGGGCGCCGCCAGGCUCGGGUGCGGGGUUGGGGUGGGGAGUGGAGGGAGUUAGGUUAGGGUUGUGUUAUUGGGCUGGGCCUUAGCUGCAAACAAAGAAGUAUGGGAGUGGGAUUAGGGAUUAUUGGGCUAAAUUCGGAUACUACCGAAUUUCGAAUACGGAGGAUUUCGAAUAAAAUGUAGAAAUGUAGAAAUCGGUUGAAAUAAGCUCAUUCCGAAUUCCGCCCCGUUUUCGAAUUAUUUGUCUGAAUUUCGUACCGGAUUCGAAUUAUUCCGAGAAAACUGAAAACGAUCGGAUAAAAUAUAGAAAACGAUGCAAUUCCGUUGGGGAUUUUCGUUUUUGUUUUCAUCCUUAAGCUGAUGCCUAACUAUGCAGGGACUAUACAGUUGCUGCCAUCUCCCUCCCCUUGAUCUAAUAGAUCCAGGCGGCGGCAGCAGACUGUUCUGCCUCCUCCAUGGCUCCAUCGCUUUGGUGCAGAUCCAGGUAGAUCAGCUUUGUCCUCCUUUGUGGAUUGUGCCUUUAGGCAGCAGAUCCAGAUGGUAUGUCAGUAGUUGUAACCUGCUAGUUAUUUGAUCUAUAUAUUCAGAUUUUAGAUGCUACUUGCUAGAUGUGACUUGUGAUAUUUACUAGUUGUGACUUGUGAUAACUUGCUAGUUGUGACUUGUCAAGAAAGAUAGGCUGAAGUUUCAGCAUAGAUUGAUUCACCUUUGAUAAAUCUAGAUCUCAUAAAUGAAUUAUGCAGUGUAUGAUAUCUAUUCAUUUUCAUAGUUGUUUGCUUUGCUCAUUGCCAUGUGGCCUUUUAUAUUCCAGUGCUGCUUCACUCUUUACAUCAUGUAUUCAUGUAUUCCAGUGCAUCUUUGAGGCUCUUAUAUAUGCUUUGAGAUCGAACUUGAAUGCCUCUGUGCUGCUCUAUGACCUCAGCCUCAAGUUGGCAUUUGAUUUAUUUUUGUCACACACUACAGCUGACCAAGGAUAUCAGUCAGCAAGCACAAAAGUCGAUUGUGAAAGAGUGUAGGAGUCAUCUUUUGGUGUAAGUUAUUUUCCAGCUACUUUUGUUGGUUCAUCGUACUAGUAGGAUGGAUCUAGCUAGAGUAGUGGAAAUCUGAAUUUUAAUUGUAAAGGAUGUGUUUCCUAAACUACACAAACUAUUCCUCUAACAAAUGUGAUAGGAAUAGAUAGUUUACUUCUACUCUUUGUAUAUUUGGAUGAUGACUAUGACUUAUAUGCUAUGAUGUGGUCAGAUUUAGUGU